AAGACCAUGCAAGGAAAUAUACCGUAACUGUCAUAGUUGAUUCAUACUCAAAUACUCUGCUACCAUCUACAGGCUGUUUGACAAAACAGCAUCUCUGCUCCACAGCUUGGGUAGAUAGCCGACCUCUCAAACUAGUCAUUUCGUUUUGAAAACCAGACCCUAGGCAACACACUGACUGAGGUCUGGUUUCAAUGACGGACUCUUUUGGUAUCGAGGAACUACGUCACUUCCUACAUCACGACUUUAUCCUCUUGAAUAAAAUACUAAAUAGUAGCUAGCAAGAUGGAGAUCACAGAGGUUAUAUAUUCGCAAGUAGAUACCUACUCAGGUUGUACAACUGAAUGUCUUCAACUGAAAUGUGUCUUCCUCAUUUAACCGCACCCCUCUGAAUCAGAGAGGUGCGGGGGGAGGCUGCCUUAAUCAACAUCCACAUCUUUGGCACCCGGGGAACAGUGGGUUAACUGCCUUGUUAACCCACUAUUUUAACCUUGUCAGGUUACUGGCCCAACGCUCUAACCACUAGGCUGCCUGCCGCCCCAGGAGCUAGUUUACAUCAACUACCUCAACUAAAACCACUGCAACGUUUGGUUUUGAAUCACAGCGUUCUGGCAUGUCUGUCGCGUGAUUUGUUAGGCGAGUCCCCAGAACGCCGUAGGUAGUGAUGUAGUUCCUCUAGGCCAACAGACCCUCAUUAAAACCAGGUUCUAGUCACUGUGUUGCCCUCGGUCGGGUUUUCAACAGACUCCCUCAUUAAAACCAGGUCCUAGUCACUGUGUUGCCCUCGGUCGGGUUUUCAACAGACUCCCUCAUUAAAACCAGGUCCUAGUCACUGUGUUGCCCUCGGUCGGGUUUUCAACAGACCCUCAUUAAAACCAGGUCCUAGUCACUGUGUUGCCCUCGGUCGGGUUUUCAACAGACUCCCUCAUUAAAACCAGGUCCUAGUCACUGUGUUGCCCUCGGUCGGGUUUUCAACAGACUCCCUCAUUAAAACCAGGUCCUAGUCACUGUGUUGUCUACGGUCGGGUUUUCAACAGACUCCCUCAUUAAAACCAGGUCCUAGUCACUGUGUUGCCCUCGGUCGGGUUUUCAACAGACUCCCUCAUUAAAACCAGGUCCUAGUCACUGUGUUGCCCUCGGUCGGGUUUUCAACAGACUCCCUCAUUAAAACCAGGUCCUAGUCACUGUGUUGUCUACGGUCGGGUUUUCAACAGACUCCCUCAUUAAAACCAGGUCCUAGUCACUGUGUUGCCCUCGGUCGGGUUUUCAACAGACUCCCUCAUUAAAACCAGGUCCUAGUCACUGUGUUGUCUACGGUCGGGUUUUCAACAGACUCCCUCAUUAAAACCAGGUCCUAGUCACUGUGUUGUCUACGGUCGGGUUUUCAACAGACUCCCUCAUUAAAACCAGGUCCUAGUCACUGUGUUGCCCUCGGUCGGGUUUUCAACAGACUCCCUCAUUAAAACCAGGUCCUAGUCACUGUGUUGUCUACGGUCGGGUUUUCAACAGACUCCCUCAUUAAAACCAGGUCCUAGUCACUGUGUUGCCCUCGGUCGGGUUUUCAACAGACUCCCUCAUUAAAACCAGGUUCUAGUCACUGUGUUGUCUACGGUCGGGUUUUCAACAGACUCCCUCAUUAAAACCAGGUCCUAGUCACUGUGUUGCCCUCGGUCGGGUUUUCAACAGACUCCCUCAUUAAAACCAGGUCCUAGUCACUGUGUUGUCUACGGUCGGGUUUUCAACAGACUCCCUCAUUAAAACCAGGUCCUAGUCACUGUGUCGCCCUCGGUCGGGUUUGGAACAAGACUAACUAGUAAUGGGGCAGAAUGGGUGACCAACCCUGGGUUCAGGGGUGUAACAACAAGCAGUGAAUCUUACGUGUGCAUUGGGCCCCUCUAUGACCAGGAAAUGCCCACACAUGUCAAAUGUGUGACUAUCAGGGCUUUAACAUGGAUGUUAUGGAGGUUUGGGGUUGUAUAUACGUUCAGACAAGACGAGGAUAUGAGUGGAACAUCAGGGCUUUAACAUGGAUGUUAUGGAGGUUUGGGGUUGUAUAUACGUUCAGACAAGACGAGGAUAUGAGUGGAACAUCAGGGCUUUAACAUGGAUGUUAUGGAGGUUUGGGGUUGUAUAUACGUUCAGACUAGACGAGGAUAUGAGUGGAACAUCAGGGCUUUAACAUGGAUGUUAUGGAGGUUUGGGGUUGUAUAUACGUUCAGACAAGACGAGGAUAUGAGUGGAACAUCAGGGCUUUAACAUGGAUGUUAUGGAGGUUUGGGGUUGUAUAUACGUUCAGACAAGACGAGGAUAUGAGUGGAACAUCAGGGCUUUAACAUGGAUGUUAUGGAGGUUUGGGGUUGUAUAUACGUUCAGACUAGACGAGGAUAUGAGUGGAACAUCAGGGCUUUAACAUGGAUGUUAUGGAGGUUUGGGGUUGUAUAUACGUUCAGACAAGACGAGGAUAUGAGU